rnacentral:rRNA from 1 species
UAGUGAGUUUGAUCCUGGCUCAGGAUGAACGCUGGCGGUCUGCUUAACACAUGCAAGUCGAACGGAACCUUUCGGGGUUUAGUGGCGGACGGGUGAGUAACGCGUGAGAAUCUACCCUUUGGUUCGGGACAACAGUUGGAAACGACUGCUAAUACCGGAUGUGCCGGAAGGUGAAAGCUUUAGUGCCAAAGGAAGAGCUCGCGUCUGAUUAGCUAGUAGGAGUGGUAACGGCACCCCUAGGCGACGAUCAGUAGCUGGUCUGAGAGGAUGAUCAGCCACACGUGGGACUGACGACCACGGCCCAGACCUCCGUACGGGGAGGCAGC